rnacentral:rRNA from 1 species
UACGUAGGAGGCGAGCGUUGUCCGGAAUUACUGGGCGUAAAGGAUGCGUAGGCGGACAUUUAAGUCAGAUGUGAAAUACCCGAGCUUAACUUGGGUGCUGCAUUUGAAACUGGGUGUCUAGAGUGCAGGAGAGGUAAGUGGAAUUCCUAGUGUAGCGGUGAAAUGCGUAGAGAUUAGGAAGAACACCAGUGGCGAAGGCGACUUACUGGACGGUUUCUGACACUAAGACUCGAAAGCGUGGGGAGCAAACAGG